rnacentral:tRNA from 1 species
GGCCCCGUAGCUCAGCUGGUAGAGCAUGCGCGUACAAAGCGUAGGCGGUGUCCAUGCGUGGGUUCGAAUACCACUGGGGCUA